rnacentral:lncRNA from 1 species
AUAGUAAUGCAUAAAAAAGAGAAAGUUAAUUCGCAUACUCAUAUCCUUUUCAGGAUCAUUCAUGAUAAAAUAGCAUUCGCAUCAUAUGCAUAUCAUGCACAUAUCAUCCUUGCAUUGCAGACAUGCUUGGGAGAGACUUCUCACUUUGGGUUUUGACUGAGAGAGGAUUGUUGAUCAUCGUCCGCACCGCUACUCAACCAAACUCAAUC